UACGUAGGGUCCGAGCGUUGUCCGGAAUUAUUGGGCGUAAAGAGCUCGUAGGCGGUCUGUUGCGUCCGCUGUGAAAACCCGGGGCUUAACCCCUGGCUUGCAGUGGAUACGGACAGACUAGAGGUAGGUAGGGGAGAAUGGAAUUCCCGGUGUAGCGGUGAAAUGCGUAGAGAUCGGCAGGAACACCCAGGGGGAAACCAGCCGACUGGGCAUCUGCUGACGCUGAGGUGCGAGAGCGUGGGGAGCGAACAGG
rnacentral:rRNA from 1 species